rnacentral:rRNA from 1 species
CCUACGGGAGGCAGCAGUGGGGAAUAUUGCGCAAUGGGCGAAAGCCUGACGCAGCGACGCCGCGUGAGGGAUGAAGGUCUUCGGAUCGUAAACCUCUGUCAGCAGGGAAGAACGGUCACUGUGCUAAUCAGCAGUGAAUUGACGGUACCUGCAAAGGAAGCACCGGCUAACUCCGUGCCAGCAGCCGCGGUAAUACGGAGGGUGCGAGCGUUAAUCGGAAUUACUGGGCGUAAAGCGCUCGUAGGCGGUAUGUCAAGUCAAGGGUGAAAGCCCCGCGCUCAACGUGGGAACUGCCUGUGAAACUGGCAAACUGGAGUGUGUGAGAGGAUAGUGGAAUGCCAGGUGUAGGAGUGAAAUCCGUAGAUAUCUGGAGGAACAUCAGUGGCGAAGGCGACUAUCUGGCACAUAACUGACGCUGAGGAGCGAAAGCGUGGGUAGCAAACAGGAUUAGAUACCCUAGUAGUC